UAUAUAGUGAAGAUGCAGUAUUCUAGUCAAUUCGACUCGCUAGGAAGACGAAGUAAUAGCGUCAACGGGCAUAUCGAUGAAGUUUCUGGUGCCUGCCUUGGUUGCCCAAACCGGGGUGUGUGCUGGAAGUUAAGAUUAUUGGGCGAGCUGUAAUGGCAUACAGCAUGACGACCCAAUUUUCGCGGAGACCCAACAGGGUGCAAGCUUUUGAGCGAACACUCUCUGGGAAAGAACCUGCAUUGCGGUAAGAGCCGUGUGCAGCGUAGCCUACUUUGAGUGGUCAUUUCGGGAUUAGGUAUCAACGCGUCAACUCUAUUGGCCGAUGGGGCUGCCGCCUGCCUAUGAAAUUAUGACUGCAAAACAAGAGAAUAGCGGGAACAAUUGUUAAGGAAAACUUCUAGACUGUUGCAUUUUGCAGGCAGAAACAGGAUUAUAGUGUGAUCUCAGUGGCGAUUCGGUGUUAUUUCUUGCUUAAAAGGAAACUGCUUCUCUGGUGACAGAAAGUGCGAGAAUGGGAAAUCCGACCGAACCUAUGACACAAGGUUUACUGAUUUUGCUGUCUU
rnacentral:sRNA from 1 species